rnacentral:rRNA from 1 species
GGCUCGAGGACGAACGCUGGCGGCGUGCUUAACACAUGCAAGUCGAACGGUAAGGCCCCUUCGGGGGUACACGAGUGGCGAACGGGUGAGUAACACGUGGGUGAUCUGCCUUGCACUUCGGGAUAAGCCUGGGAAGCUGGGUCUAAUACCGGAUAGGACUACAUGCUUCAUGGUGUGUGGUGGAAAGUUUUUCGGUGCGAGAUGAGCCCGCGGCCUAUCAGCUUGUUGGUGGGGUAAUGGCCUACCAAGGCGACGACCGGGUAGCCGGCCUGAGAGGGCGACCGGCCACACUGGGACUGAGACACGGCCCAGACUCCUACGGGAGGCAGCAGUGGGGAAUAUUGCACAAUGGGCGGAAGCCUGAUGCAAGCGACGCCGCGUGAGGGAUGACGGCCUUCGGGUUGUAAACCUCUUUCAGCAGGGACGAAGCGCAAGUGACGGUACCUGCAGAAGAAGCACCGGCUAACUACGUGCCAGCAGCCGC